CUUGUUUUGUAGCAGCUGAAUUAGGGGACGGGGAGCAGGAUGGAAGCUGGUGACAAGGAAAAGCUGGAGGCCACAGAGGAUGGUCAGACCACGAGGGGAAGCGAGAGUCUGAGUAGGUGUCCAGGGUUGAGGGAGGAGCACAUUUGCAUUGUCGCAGAGUCGCAGGGAAGGCUGGUGUGUGGAGAAGGAAGUCAGAGGAACAGUGCUGUGUGGGGGUAGGUUUGUUAGAAAAACCAUCAAAGACCGAGUAAGAGAAAGAGAGAACGAACACCUGCAGAUACGAUGCUGUUCCUGCAACUUGUGUCGUUUGUGGUUCUCCUCCCAGGUGGUGACAGUGAAGAUGCCUUCCAGGAGCCGAUCUCCCUCCGAAUCAUCCUGACUUCAUCCUUUUACAACCGUUCCCGGACGCAAAAUCUUGCCUCAGCUUGGCUGGAUGAGCUGCAGACUCAUGGCUGGGACAACAAGACUGGCGCUUUCAUUUUCUUGUGGCCUUGGUCCAGGGGCAACUUAAGCAACGAGGAGGUGAUUAGAGCAGAAGAGGCAUUUUAUUCAAACUCCAUUGGUCUUCCUCUAUGUUUUCAUGACCAUUUCAGUGAAUGGCAACUCGAAUAUCCCUUCCAGGUACAGCUGACAGGAGGCUGUGAGCUGCACUUUGGGGAACCCUCAGUUGGCUUCAUACGGAUUGCUUAUGAAGGAUCAGAUCUCGUGAGUUUCCAGAACAUGUCAUGGUGGCCAUCUCCAGAGGGAGGAAGUAGGGCUCAGCAGGUCUGCAGACUAUUCAAUCAGGACCAUGAAGAUAAUGAAUUUAAUGCAUAAACUUAUCACUGACCACUGUCCCCGCUAUCUCUCAAGUCUUCUUGAUGCAGGGAAGGCAGAUCUCCAGCGACAAGUGAGGCCAGAGGCCUGGCUGUCUGCUGGCCCCAGUCCUGGUCCCGGCCGUCUGCUGCUGGUGUGCCACGUCUCUGGCUUCUACCCCAAACCCGUGUGGGUGAUGUGGAUGCGGGAUGAGCAGAAGCAGCGGGACACCCAGCGAGGCGACGUCCUGCCCCAUGCUGAUGGGACGUGGUAUCUUCAGAUGUCCUUGGAUGUGAAAGCCACGGAAACAGCUGGCCUGUCCUGCCAAGUGAGACACAGCAGUCUAGGAGGCCAGGACAUGGUCCUCUACUGGGAGCAGCCCCACUCCAUGGGCUUGGUCUUCCUGGCAGUGAUAGUGCCCCUGGUGCUUCUGGCAGGUCUGGCGCUGUGGCUCUGGAAGCGCUGGAAAACACACUGGAGAUGUCCAUGCACUGACCUCCGUUCUGGGCAAGAUCCCAGCAGCCCAGGCUCCAGGAGGAACCUGAGGCCAGCUCAGUGGUGACGUCCUUGCAACUCUCUGUCCCACUUUGUCCUUCAGUUCUGCUUAAUGAUCAGCUGUCCAUAUAAGCUCAGUGUAAUUUAGCAGCAUUGGGGUUCUGACUUGGUUCUGCAACUUAACUCUCAAAAUUUAAUUCAGUUUAAAAUGAAGUCCCAGUAACCACCAUGUGUCACAAGCAUUAGAUGUCACUUCCUCCAGUGAGUCCUCCCUGAUUCAGACGUGGGGCAUGUGUUGUGAUGAGCACUGGGUGUUUUACACAACUAAUGAAUCAUUAGACACUACAUCAAAAACUUAUGAUGUACUAUAUGCUGGCUAACUGAACAUAAAAAAAAGAGGAAUAUACAAAAAAAAAAAGAAAAAAAAAGAAAAAAGAAGUGGAAGCAGUCUCUGCCUGGUGAGAAUUUCCACCACUUUAACCUGCACUUGGCUAAUCUAUUAUCUGAUCCCGGCCCUUAUUGCCCGCAGUAUUCCUUUCCCUUCUAAUUCUUAGGGUUUCUGAUAGCAAAGACCAUGUCUUUUUAAUAUUUGUAUCCUUGUCAAGGAGAGUCACCUUCAUGGAAAAUAUCCCCAAUAAAAAUGUGUUCAA